AUUGAACGCUGGCGGCAGGCCUAACACAUGCAAGUCGAGCGAGCGGCGGACGGGUGAGUAAUGUCUGGGAAACUGCCUGAUGGAGGGGGAUAACUACUGGAAACGGUAGCUAAUACCGCAUACCAUCAGAUGUGCCCAGAUGGGAUUAGCUAGUAGGUGGGGUAACGGCUCACCUAGUACAAGAUCCCUAGCUGGUAGGAGAGGAUGACCCGACACACUGGAACUGAGACACGGUCCAGACUCGUACGGGAGGCAGGUGUGGGGAAUAUUGCACUAGGGGCGCAAGCCUGAUGCAGCCCUGCCGCGUUUGGGAAGAAGGCCUUCGGGUUGUAAAGCACUUUCAGCGUGGAGGCUUUACCCGAAGAAGAAGCACCGGCUAACUCCGUGCCAGCAGCCGCGGUAAUAC
rnacentral:rRNA from 1 species